AGUCGAGCGUGAAAGUGGGGCAACCCAUGAGUAAAGCGGCGCACGGGUGAGGAACACGUAGAUUAUCUGCCCUUGAGAUCGAGAUAACCCCGGGAAACUGGGGCUAAUACCGGAUAAUGCACUAUGAUUGGGUUUGUAGUUAAAGGGGCUUUAUUGUCCCGCUUGGAGAUGAGCCUGCGAUCUAUCAGCUAGUUGGUGGGGUAAUGGCCUACCAAGGCUAAGACGGAUAGCUGGUCUGAGAGGAUGAUCAGCCACACUGGGACUGAGACACGGCCCAGACUCCUACGGGAGGCAGCAGUAGGGAAUAUUGCGCAAUGGACGAAAGUCUGACGCAGCGACGCCGCGUGAGUGAUGAAGGUGUUUUUCAUCGUAAAGCUCUGUAAGGAGGGAAGAACCGCAACUAGUAAUGUAGUUGCCUGACGGUACCUCCAAAGUAAGGACCGGCUAAAUACGUGCCAGCAGCCGCGGUAAUACGUAUGGUCCGAGCGUUGUCCGGAAUGACUGGGCGUAAAGGGUGCGUAGGUGGACUCGUAUGUCAGGUGUGAAAUCCCUGGGCUUAACCCAGGAACUGCGCUUGAAACUGCGAGACUAGAGCAUGUCAGAGGUAAGCGGAAUUCCCGGAGUAGCGGUGAAAUGCGUAGAUAUCGGGAAGAACACCAGUGGCGAAGGCGGCUUACUGGGGCAUUGCUGACACUGAGGCACGAAAGCGUGGGGAGCGAACGGGAUUAGAUACCCCGGUAGUCCACGCCGUAAACGAUGUAUACUAGAUGUCAGGCAUAUUAAAAUGCUUGGUGUCGGAGCUAACGUUUUAAGUAUACCGCCUGGGGAGUACGGUCGCAAGAUUAAAACUCAAAGGAAUUGACGGGGGCCCGCACAAGCGGUGGAGCAUGUGGUUUAAUUCGAUGCAACGCGCAGAACCUUACCUGGAUUUGACAUCCUUCGGACAGGACUUGGAGACAGGACCUUCUUCUUCGGAAGCCGGAGUGACAGGUGCUGCAUGGCUGUCGUCAGCUCGUGUUGUGAGAUGUUGGGUUAAGUCCCGCAACGAGCGCAACCCUUGUCCUUAGUUGCUAACAUUAAGUUGAGAACUCUAGGGAGACUGCCGAGGUUAACUCGGAGGAAGGUGGGGAUGACGUCAAGUCCUCAUGGCCUUUAUGUCCAGGGCUACACACGUGCUACAAUGGUAUAGAUAGAGGGUAGCCAAUCCGCAAGGUGGAGCUAAUCCCAGAAACUAUAUCUCAGUUCGGAUUGGGGUCUGCAACUCGACCCCAUGAAGGUGGAAUCGCUAGUAAUCGCG
rnacentral:rRNA from 1 species